rnacentral:tRNA from 1 species
AGCGACAUAGUGUAAAGGUUAGCACAUUAGUCUCAUGAACUGAUAGAAUAGGUUCAAUUCCUACUUUCGCUC